CUUUAAAUGGAAAUAGCAGUCGUCUGGUCGAUGCAGGCUUCAUAAGUACCUUGGGAUUGUUGAUGUUGGGAACGUCUAUAUACAUUCUAAUAAAAGCUAUAAAGAAAUCUGGCUUGAGAGGUGUGCUUGGAUUAGAUUUUGCAGGGAGGGGAAGGAAAGGCGGAGAAGAUAUAGGGGGGUUGGUAUUAGGUUUUUUUUUUUUUUUUUUGGUUUGUGUAUUGAAGAUCCUUGGUCAGUUUUAUGAUGUUGAUGUUUGAAUUUGCCCAAACUCAUGGCACAAUUCUAUAUGGGAUUGAAAUUAACAAGUGUUAUCCACAGCAAUUAUUUGGGUAAGGGCUAAAUUUUUCCCUACAAUGUAAGGGUUUUAAUAUGUGUGAAUUGGACCUGAAUGUGUAAGUUGUCCAACAUAGGAAUUAACAGGUGGCUUGACAAGGAGUGAAAUGCUAACGACCAUUAAUAAAAUCUCAUCUACGUUCACCUCUGACAAUUUUUCUUUAUAAAUUGAAUAGACAAAGGAGAUUGACUGCA